rnacentral:misc_RNA from 1 species
GAUGAAGAACGUAGCGAAAUGCGAUAAGUAAUGUGAAUUGCAGAAUUCAGUGAAUCAUCGAAUCUUUGAACGCACCUUGCGCCCUUUGGCUAUUCCGAAGGGCAUGCCUGUUUGAGUAUCAUGAACACCUCAACUCUCAUGGUUUGCCAUGAUGAGCUUGGACUCUGGGGGUCUUGCUGGCCUAUGGUCAGCUCCUCUCAAAUAAAUCAGCUUGCCAGUGUUUGGUGGCAUCACAGGUGUGAUAACUAUCUACGCUUGUGGUGUUCCAUCAGGUAACCUUCAGUGAUGGAGGUUCGCUGGAGCUCAUAAAUGUCCCUCCUCAGCGAGGACAGCUUUUUGAACGUUUGAUCUCAAAUCAGGUAGGACUACCCGCUGAACUUAAGCAUAUCAAUAAGCGGAGGA